UGCGGAAGGAUCAUUAUCGAGUUUUGACUGGGUUGUAGCUGGCCUUCCGAGGCAUGUGCACGCCCUGCUCAUCCACUCUACACCUGUGCACUUACUGUGGGUUUCAGACGGCGUAGCGAGCCUUUACGGGUUCGCGAAAGCGUCUGUGCCCGCGUUUAUUACAAACUCUUACAAGUAAAAGAAUGUGUAUUGCGAUAUAACGCAUCUAUAUACAACUUUCAGCAACGGAUCUCUUGGCUCUCGCAUCGAUGAAGAACGCAGCGAAAUGCGAUAAGUAAUGUGAAUUGCAGAAUUCAGUGAAUCAUCGAAUCUUUGAACGCACCUUGCGCUCCUUGGUAUUCCGAGGAGCAUGCCUGUUUGAGUGUCAUGAAAUCUUCAACCUAUCAACCUUUGCGGGUUUGUAGGCUUGGACUUGGAGGCUUGUCGGCCUAACGGUCGGCUCCUCUUAAAUGCAUUAGCUUGAUUCCUUGCGGAUCGGCUCUCGGUGUGAUAAUUGUCUACGCCGCGACCGUGAAGCGUUUGGCGAGCUUCUAAUCGUCUCUUAUGAGACAACACANUGACCU
rnacentral:rRNA from 1 species